rnacentral:rRNA from 1 species
GGGGAAUAUUGCACAAUGGGCGAAAGCCUGAUGCAGCAACGCCGCGUGAGUGAUGAAGGUCUUCGGAUUGUAAAGCUCUGUCUUUUGGGACGAUAAUGACGGUACCAAAGGAGGAAGCCACGGCUAACUACGUGCCAGCAGCCGCGGUAAUACGUAGGUGGCGAGCGUUGUCCGGAUUUACUGGGCGUAAAGGGUGCGUAGGCGGAUGUUUAAGUGAGAUGUGAAAUACCCGGGCUUAACUUGGGUGCUGCGUUUCAAACUGGAUAUCUAGAGUGCAGGAGAGGAGAAUGGAAUUCCUAGUGUAGCGGUGAAAUGCGUAGAGAUUAGGAAGAACACCAGUGGCGAAGGCGAUUCUCUGGACUGUAACUGACGCUGAGGCACGAAAGCGUGGGUAGCAAACAGGAUUAGAUACCCUGGUAGUCCACGCCGUAAACGAUGAGUACUAGGUGUAGGAGGUAUCGACCCCUUCUGUGCCGCAGUAAACACAUUAAGUACUCCGCCUGGGAAGUACGAUCGCAAGAUUAAAAC